CCUCCCCUAUCCCCCAUCUCUCAUACCUCUCACUUAAGAGAUCUCUCCAUCGUCUUUGCUGCAUGACACCGCCGGAAAUCACCCCACGGUGGCGGCAGGCCUCCGAUGGCCACCAUUUUUACACCAUAGAUUCCCCUCCUUCUCCUCUUUCCAAAUCUCCUAAACCUUUCCCUCGAAUCCCAUCUAAAACCCUCGAAUAUUGAAUCAAAAAGAGUGACUAAAACCCUAACUCAUCCAAUGGGCCCCAAACUAACACCAAAGAAUCCCCAGGCCUCCCUCAUCCUAAAUCUGUCGCCAUUUUCCGACGAAUCAUCUAGGAAAUGCUCAAAUUUAAAAUCAAUGCAAGCCCUUAAUUCCCAAAGGUCCCCCAUUAGUGUUUGAAGAUUUGGGUUCAUUGCAAUGUUACUCGUGUGUUCUUAUUAAGAACACACGAUUAAUAUUAUAGUGGGCCAAAAAUCCGAAGUUUUGGAGAUUCGAUUCGAUUUCUUUGCUGGGCAGUGGCGUUUAUGUAUUUUUUUUGAACUGCGUUUGUUUGUUUCUCUCUUCUGUGCUUCAUCUUUGUUCUUCUUCUAAAUGCCAUGAUUCAUGUUUGUAAAAACGAAAAAAGAGAGAAAAGAAUUAAUAUAUAUACUGUUUGCUUAUUAGAAUGUUGAAUCAUUUAGAUUUUUUCUUUCUUUAAGUUAGCUGGGAAUAUGAAUUUGUUCCAGAGUCGUGAUAUGUAUGUCAGUUUCUGCCUUUCUUUUCCUUGUUUUCUUUUUCAAAAUUGUUUCAUGAUUUAGUAGCAUGAUCUAAGGACUCUUAGUGUUUGUACUGUUUGUUCAUAUCAUCUAUAUUAGUACAUGCCAAUGUGCUUGCUUCUGAGCUAGGCAACAUUUCGAUUUGAGGCAAUUAUGGACUCUAUUGAUGUUUGUUAUCAUUUUCAAAUCACUAGAUAGUUUGAGGGGGUUAAGUGAACAAAGAAAACUAGGGAAGGGGACAAUUGAAUAAUUAGAAGCUUGAAGGGGCUAAAGGGUCGGGUAAAAAAACAUGGGCGUCCAGGGUCAAUUCAGGGAUUUGGGGGUUUAAGUGAAUCUUUCUUGUUAGGAGGAAACUUUAGAGGAUAAGGUGAGAGCUGGUUUUUCAAAGAGCAGAGGGUUUUCAGGUAUUUUAAAAGGGGUAAGAUGGGUAAAACAGUCAAAAAGAAGGGUAAAGAGGAAAUUGGUUAGUUAGGCUAUGGCUGCCUUAGGCAUGCCUAUAAAAAGACCUCUUAACUCUCAUUUUCAGCAGCUUGAACAUUCUGAAAAAUAAGAAGAUUGAGAGAGCUGAAAACUAAAAAAAAAAUAAAAAUACAAAAGCUGGAAGACUUUACUGUUUCAUAGAUUUCUAGGAGCUAAAAUAGAAAAAAAACUCAGAAAUGGCUGAAAAAUAUAUAAACAUAUUGUUCCAUUGAUUUUGCUGAAUUUGGAAGUUUUUAUACUAUGAAACAACCUGCUUAUCCAUCGGGAACGAAAAAUGAGUUGAUUUCUUGGUUUUGAAAGGCUGGUUUGGGUGUUCAUUCUUUGGUUUUACUGUUUUGUUGUUGAAAACUGAGCUGAUCUUGUUGAAUCUGGGACUGUUCUGUGUUGCAGCUGUUAUUACCCUCACUUCUUUCCUUUUGCCAUUUCCAGGAACAUUACUUCCACAUACUACCUUAUGAAAGGCCUGAUUUGGAGUUGAAAUAAGAAUCUGAAGUUUUAAGAACGGCCACAACUGGUUUUGUCCUGUAAUUUAGUUUGACAUUGUUCUAAUUGUUUGUUGUGAGUUCUAUAGUACACUAUAUUUUGUUGUUUGCUGAUGAGUACUUUGUUGAGAAUUGAAUCUUGGUAAUUAACGGGGACUCAACUUUUGACUGAAUAUCUCAUAACUGCUCUAAAGUUUAAAUGGCCUGUUUAGUCGAAUCAUUAGCUAGUUUUUGUACGUUCGUCCAUGCUAAAUGGUAUUAUAUGAGUUGAUUGUGAACUUUUGGUUCAUGGUUAAAUGGUAGAUUCUUGCAUAAUAUUAAUUUUUGUUGAAUUAGUAUGGGUUUUUAAUCGAAUAAAUGAUUUCUAAUUGUGAACUCUUUCAUAUAGUUUUUAAUUGAACGCAUUGUUGGUACAAAUGGGUGGUUUGAUUUCUUCCAUAGAGAUAACUAGCAUAAUGUCGUGUUAUAAGAAGGAAGAACAGGUCUAUUCUGCUUAAAAAGCAGAAGAAAACACACUGAUUUAUCUCUGGGGGGUACGUGACUGAUUUUAAUCCAAAAGUGCUUUGAAAACUGAAGUACCUCGCCCAUUUGAAUACUUAACAUAAUUGGCCAGUUAAUGUUUUAAUAGUUUCCAAUUUCUGCUAUGUAGAAGAUUAUCAUGUGAGUGUGUAUAAACUAAAGUGUUUUUCAGUAAAUUACAAUCAGUGUUUCAAUGACUAGUAAUGGCUGAUUGAAUUUUUGUGGUUGUUCAAUAUCAGACUCUAUGGAUCUAGGAGGUUUAAAUCCCUUUGUUAAUACAUGUUCGUUAAAAUUGGUCGCUUUCUGUCGUGGUCUAGGUUCGAUACAUGCACCUCCCCGGUACUCCGCUGGUGUGGGUUUCA
rnacentral:lncRNA from 1 species